UACGUAGGGUGCAAGCGUUGUCCGGAAUUAUUGGGCGUAAAGAGCUCGUAGGCGGUUUGUUGCGUCGGCUGUGAAAUCCCGAGGCUCAACCUCGGGUCUGCAGUCGAUACGGGCAUCACUGGAGUUCGGCAGGGGAGACUGGAAUUCCUGGUGUAGCGGUGAAAUGCGCAGAUAUCAGGAGGAACACCGGUGGCGAAGGCGGGUCUCUGGGCCGAUACUGACGCUGAGGCGCGAAAGCUAGGGGAGCAAACGGG
rnacentral:rRNA from 1 species